AUGUUUUCCAGACUGUUGUAAUGAAUGGAUUGGUAAAUAAAAAAAAAAAAAAAAAAAAAAAAAAAAAAAAAAAAUCUGUUCUUAUCAGUUUAAUAUCUGAUACGUCCCCCAUCCGGGGACUACAUAUUAAAUGGAUUUUUAGAUCACGGAGCUGGAGCCGGGGCUUGCUCCGUCCACUCCAUGCAUCGGCCUGGUAUUGCAGUGUCUCCAGGAACGGUGUGCUUUCC
rnacentral:snRNA from 1 species